CGCGCUUAACACAUGCAAGUCGAGCGAGAACCAGGGCUUCGGUCCUGGGGACAGCGGCGAACAGGUGAGUAACACGUGGGAAUCUACCCAUCCCUGCGGAACAACUCCGGGAAACUGGAGCUAAUACCGCAUACGCCCUUCGGGGGAAAGAUUUAUCGGGGAUGGAUGAGCCCGCGUUGGAUUAGCUAGUUGGUGGGGUAAAGGCCUACCAAGGCGACGAUCCAUAGCUGGUCUGAGAGGAUGAUCAGCCACAUUGGGACUGAGACACGGCCCAAACUCCUACGGGAGGCAGCAGUGGGGAAUAUUGGACAAUGGGCGCAAGCCUGAUCCAGCCAUGCCGCGUGAGUGAUGAAGGCCUUAGGGUUGUAAAGCUCUUUCACCGGAGAAGAUAAUGACGGUAUCCGGAGAAGAAGCCCCGGCUAACUUCGUGCCAGCCGCCGCAGUAAUAC
rnacentral:rRNA from 1 species